ACGGGGGCCCCGGGAACAGCAGUCGGGGAGACCUGCGGGGAGGGGAAGGGUGAUGCGAGGGGAAGCUGAGGCCCGGGGAGAGGGGCACCUCGUGACUGGGGGUAGCGGUAGAAGUGGGAAAAAGACUUUGGGGAGGGAGUUGGGACCUGAGGGGAAACUGAAGUGAGGGAGAACAGGGGAGAAGAAACAGGCCUAGGGGCAGGGGAGGCUGACCUCGUGGGGUGUGUUGGGUUCAAUUAAGACCUGAGGGGAUGGGACACCGUGAGAUCUGAGGGGGAAACAGGCCGUCCUGGCCCCGAUGAAUCCUGUGACAGUUGGGGGCAGGGACUCUGAGGACACCAUAAGAUUGGGGGGCAGGAGGGGAGACCUUCCCCCAGGUCAACCAAGGACCCCCUGACUAGGGAAAGAUCUGCCUUGGGUCACCCUGUUGAGGCCUGUCGCAGCGUCUACCAUUCCCUGCUGAACAAUAAUGACCCUUAGGGACCAUCUAAUUCUCCUUAAAUUUAGGGAAACCGAGGUCCAUUGGCUGAAGGAGACAGCCUGAGGUCCCAAGUACCAAACAAAUUACCCUUGCCUUAAAUACCUUCUCCCUCCAGACCUAGGGGUCAUCCUGGUGAACCAGCCUGGUUCGGCUCAGAGGCCCUUUCUCUGACUCGGUUCCUGGUCACUUCAGGCCUGGACUCUGGCCAAAGGGCAGGGACCUGUUUUUAUACCAUGUCCAGCACAUGGUGCCAUUCAGGUGUUUCUCGGUGGUGUCCCCACUCUGUGACCCCAUUAGGCGUUUUCUUGGCAAAAAGACUUCUCCAGCUCAUUUUACAGAGGAGGAGACUGAGGCAAACAGGAUUAAGUGACCGGGCCAGGGUCAUCCAGCUGGGAAGCAUCUGGGGCCAGGUGGGCACCCAAAGAUGCCUCUUGCUAAUGGACGGCUGCCUGGAGAGCUAGGCACUAGGGCGCCACCUAGUGGCCCAGGUGCAUAGCAAGUACUCUGUUCGGGUUUAUUGACUGGAUCUGUGCUCUUUGCAGUUCAGAAAACCAGCCUGGGAAGCGAAGGUGGUCCUAGUUCUGAUCAUUUCCAACAUUUCCGUGGCGCUUACUGUGUGCCAGGUUUUGUGCUAGCCCUUUGCAGAUACCUCACUUGUGCCUCACAAGUGUUAUUGUCACCGUUUUACAGGUGAGGAAACUGAGGGAAACAGGUUAAAGGACUUGACUAGAAUCACACAACUUGGAGGCCGGCCUGCAUUAUUACUCAGCGCAGUGCUCUAGCCGCUGCUCCGCCCAGCUGCCCUGGGUCCAGGCUGAAAGGGACCACCCCAUCUCCUGACCCUCGCUCUCCAGGCAGAAGGGCUUUCAAGGCCAUCAGGGGGAAACAAGGCCCCAGGUUGCCAUGGUGAUGACACACCAGGAUUGAGUUUGAGCUCUUGGGAUUCUGGAGCUCAAGAGGCCAUCAGUAACAUCCAUUUUACAGAUGAGCAAGCAAGAAAGGAAGGGAUUGUGGGCAGUGGGGUCAGCUCGUGGGACCUCACGAGUCCAAACCCCACCAUGUUGCAGUUGAACAACUGGGGCAGAGAGGAGGAGGGUGGGGAUGGUGAAAGAAGGGCAGGUCCAUGAUCACACAGGCAAGAGAUGCCUCCUGAGGGACGUCUCAGGUACGACUGCCCCUCUUGUGGCCACCCUGUCAGUCCCCACACGCACUUAGUGCUGAGCAGCCACCCAGCCUCUGCUGAAGACCUCCAGUGAAGGUGAGCCCCUUCCUUCCCUCGGCAACCCAUUCCCCCAAUUUCCCAUGAUUCCACUGUCACUGGAAAUUCUAGAUGGACUUCUUUUUCACGUGGGAAAGCUAAUGGGGGCAUUCACGGGGGCUUCCUCAGGGUCAUCCAAGCUUCAUGCAUUAGAGCUAGCUCUGAGUGUCAUCUGAGGGCCCGAGGCGGUAUGGGAGGGGGAUGUUCUCCUGCUGCCCUAGUCCUUGUGCAACGCCAGACAUGCAGGGCCCAGCCUCUCCCUUUGCUGUUCAGCUUCCUGCGCUGAUCCAGUCUGACUUUCGUCCACUUGUACACCAGCCCCCUGUGUCACAGCCUGAAUUCCCCGUAUCCUGGGGGAGGCUCGGACUCCUUCCUCUACUGUCCUCAGCUUACCCCCACCCCCUACCCCCCGCCCACCUCUCAUCUCUCAACCAGCUCUUUGUCCUCCAAGACAGGUAUUUUUCCAGUUCUCCAUCUUUGACCUCUUUGGAAACUCUCUUCCCUGCUCCAGAAAAUACGAGAUAUGUUGGAUCAUGGGCAGCUGGCAAGAAGGAGGCUCUUACCUGACUUGGAGCGCCCUCAAAUGUAGUGUUGGUCUCCAGUAUCCACUUCAUGGAACUCCCAGGGCUUCUGGCUAAAGGAAGGCUGGAGAUCUGUGGGCCUCAACUUCCCACUUCCUACCUGGCUCAUCUUCCCACCUUCCUCCUAGGUCCAGGCCCAGCCAGUGAUUCCUCCAGCAUGACCAGGACUGAGACCCGGGGGCCCACCGAACGGAAAUGUGCCUUGACUGGGGAAGAAGCUGCUGGAAUGGACAUCGAGGCCUCUGAGGUGGAAUUACAGUGUCUCAGUGCUGGAGGCGGGACGGGGGCAGCCGAUUCGGAAAGGUCUUCCUGAAGGUCCGGUGCCGGGCGCCCCUUUGGAAGCUCCCCUGAGCCGCCCCCACCCUGGACUGAGCCCUCCUCUGACCAGCUUCUCCGACACUGUCCUCGGAGACCGGGCAAGGGACGGGCGUCCCGAGAGUUGUGCUACCUGGAGGGAGGGCUCUCCUGGGCCCCGUUACUCAGCACAGGGCCAGGCACAUAGAACACGAGGUGAAAACUAUGUCUGUGUCCUCGAUGGUCCCGUCCCCCCUUCCAAUCCCUUUCUCUGCUUUGUUGGGCCCAGUGCUGCAAGAGCCUUCCCCAGCCCUCGCCAGCUGCUCACGGAGGCCGGAAGCAGCCAUGAAAAGGGCACAGGUUAAGGUCUGGGGACCUGAAUUCGAGUCCCAGCUCUGCCGUUCCCUAGCUGGGUGGCUGGGGUUCAUGUUUCUUUGUCUGUAUAAAGAUGAGGAAGGACUGACCAGGCCUGAAAUGCCUCCCACCUCUAAAUCCCAUUUUACUGGGGAUAAAGCCCCUCCUUUUCUCUGGGGCCCUGUCACAUGACACCUCCAGGAAACCUCCCUAUGGCUCCUCCCCUCCCCCCAUCUCACAGGGCCAUCGAUUCAGAAUUCUGUUUUCCCAUCACGCUCUGCUUCCCUCCCUUGUACUGGGACUUGUGUCUCUGGGGCAGAGCUGUCUGAAGGAAGCAGGGGCUGGAGCCCAUCCUGCUGUCGGUAACCCCAAGGCCUGACACUGUGUGGUUCUCAGAAGGAAGCCCUGGAGGACUCCUGGAUUGCUCAGUUGCUGUGACCAAGCAGCACCCACUUCCCUCGCCCACUCAGUUCCGGCCCAUCCCCAGAGCUGCUUUGGGGGCCCAGCCCCAUCUCCAUGGAACUAGGUUAGGAGGGGAGGGAGGAGCCCCUUCCCGCUUCCAUCCCUCCACCCCAGACUGUCUCAUCUGUUGCCGAAGCUCCCUUGAUGACAGCUGAAAGGCGGAGGGGGCUGCUCUCCCUCCGUUCCAUCUGCAGCUCCCAUGCUUGGAGCCCUGCCUUCCAGGUGCUCGUGACCAUCCCGCCUGGCUCGGGUUUUUCUGUCUCUGGGUGUGCUGUACCCCCUCAGGGGUAGAUCAGCUCUUUGUCACUGUGUCCUCACACCUGGGGGGGUGGGGUACCAAGCCUCAAGGAGAGUUGGAGGAGGCUGGGGGACAUGGCGGCUUCCUAACUGUGUGCAAAGCCCUUCCCCCUUGCAGCCUUCAGUGUCCUCAUCCAAAAAAUGGGUGCAGUAAUGCUGGGUUUAUAGGCCUUAACAUAUGUAAACGUGGUGGUGGAAGCUGGUCUUGUUCUCAAAGGGGAGGAGGGUAGGGGAGAGUGGGGAGAGCUCCCACAACUUGGCCCUGGCAUUGGCUCAAGAGCAGGCGGGCUCCCGGCCAGGGCAGAUGGAAAGUCAGCUUUGUUCAGGGGAGCUCCCAGGCCCGAGCAGGGGGAGGGGACCCUCCACCCGGUGAUCAUCGGGUUCUGGGCCCUGGUCAGUCCCCCGGAGGCCAUGAGCAUCUGGCCCCCAAAUGCCUCCUCUUCCCGAGGAAGCUGUUAGGGGGAGGUGGGGCUCAUGGCCGUGGCCAUCAUGGAGACAACUUGGCGUGAGGAUGGCUGGCCCUGAGAGCAGAAAAGGGCCUUCAUUACUCGGUCCCUCUCCCUAGCCACGGGCCUCCUCCCUCACCCUGCCUCCUCAGAGUAUUAAUCCUGGAUUAAAGGUAAACCCGUUCCAGUUGGGAAAGAGAUGUCCUGGUUCUGCACCUUUCCACCAGAUUCCUGGCUCCAGCUCCCCCUUCUCAGAGCUGCCCCUCCCAUUCCCUCUGACCUGCAGACAGAUUUAAUCCCCCUGGAGCCUGGGGGAGAGGACAAGCAGUAUUGAAACAGAAGAAAGCACCUUGAACUUCCUCCCCUCCCCAGCACACUGGGAGGCCUGGCUGGCUCCAGGAACAAGCCAGGAGUCCCUGCCUGUCUUCAGGAUACAGACCUCUGACCUCUCUUCCCACCUGCCUUCUCAGGCCCACCAGACAGCUUAGGGGCCUCAGGACGUCACUCCCUCGGGAUUUCAGCCCCUCCCUGGCCCGGGAACCUCAAUCCUUAUUCCUUGGGAUAUACCCCGUCUGCCCUUGUUGGGGAACAGAGGAGGUGGCUGAUGGGGAAGCUCAGAACCCGGGGGUUCCCACUGUAGGGAUGAGAUGGAAGUCGGGGGUCUUAGUUUGAUGCUGUUCCUGCCUUGGUCCUGCCUGGCUGGUUUUCCCGAGGCUGACAGCCCCCUCUUCCAGCGCCCUCCUUGCCAGCAGUCUCCCUAGCAAGCACUGGGACUACUAGUGCUGGGCUGGCCUAGGUAGCUUGGAAGUGCAGGGGAGUCUGGCCACGGUAAGACCACGUCAACGUGCCCUCCUUCCCUGGACCUGGGCAGAGAGCAGAACAGGUGGAAGGAGGGAACGGGGAGUUUGAGUGGAAUUGAGGACUGGAAAUGAUUUAGGAUCAUGGGAUAUGUGAGACUGUAGAGCCCCAUGUUACCCAUCUAACGGGAGAAACUGAGGCUAUCCAUGCAGGAGCUAGGCCCAGAGACAAGGCUUGGCCUGACUCCAUCUGGUCCUCUGUCCUGUUUCCUGACAGCUCCUAGGGUCCCCACAGCUGAGGGACAGAAAUGGGGGGUGGGACUGGGGGUCGGGACUCCUGCUGCACCAGAUCCGGGGCCCCUCAGAAAGGGCCAGCUCAUUUUGCAGUAACCCAGCCUCGGUUCCGGGCUCCCGGAUUAAUUAGAGUGCAGGGACUAAUUUUAGUAAUGAUGUUUCACCUCAGCCCAGUGCUCGAUUUCACAAAUUGCUUUUCUGUCUCCAGAGAACAGACACCAAAAUGGAAUGGGGACCCGGAGCUUGGCGAAAGUCAUUGUUUGACACAUCUUCCGCCUCCCCCUCCCCUCUCCCUGCUGAGCACUGCCCCCUCCUCCCGUCCCCCCGGGAAUCUAGAAAUGAGGAGAUGCUGAUGAGAUCAGACAGUCGGAGCACAGACCCAGAAAGACCUUAGAGAACCCAGAAUGUCAGCCCUGGGAGGCCCUGACAACCCAGAACACAGAUCGGGGAGGAGCAAAGAGACCACCAGCUUCACCUCCCUUCCUCCAAAAGGAGAAACUGAGGUCCGGGGAGCUGGUCUGGUAUCUGAAGGAGAGGAGGAGGAAGAACUGACCUGAAAGGGAGCUAUAAACAAACCGGUCAGGGGCACCUGAAGGUGUGAAUUACGGAGUGGUGAGGGGCAGUGCUAGCUCAAGGGCUGCUGGGGGACAGGGUCAAGUGGACCUUACAAACUGAGGGGCCCAGAGGAGCACAGAUCCAGCGUCUGCUCUGUCAGUGGUCCCCCUUCCCAGGGUCUUCCUCGACCCUUUUCCCCAACCCCCACCCCAUGUUCUCCCAAAUCUUGCCUCCAUAUUUUCAUCUCCGCUCCCAUUCUCUGUGUUCCAUUCCCACUUCUCUCGAUCUCCUUGAGCUUUCUCCGUUCAGGCCCCGGGCCAAUUUUCUCCCAUUUGUCCUUCCCUUCCCCCGUUACCCGUUCCUUUCCCCGUGAGCCCAGCGCCCCCUCUCCCCUCCCCCCGUCAGGGUGAGCCCUUCAUUUCUUGCCCAUCUCUGGGACGUCUCCUCUCAGCCUUCUGUCCUCCCCGGCCGCCCCCAGCAGAGCUGCUGCUGCAGUCAGU